rnacentral:piRNA from 1 species
GUAUUACUGUGGUGUGGGCGCAGA